AUUGAACGCUGGCGGCAUGCCUUACACAUGCAAGUCGAACGGCAGCACGGGAGCAAUCCUGGUGGCGAGUGGCGAACGGGUGAGUAAAGUAUCGGAACGUGCCCAGUCGUGGGGGAUAACGUAGCGAAAGUUACGCUAAUACCGCAUACGAUCUAUGGAUGAAAGCGGGGGAUCGCAAGACCUCGCGCGAUUGGAGCGGCCGAUAUCAGAUUAGGUAGUUGGUGGGGUAAAGGCUCACCAAGCCGACGAUCUGUAGCUGGUCUGAGAGGACGACCAGGCAGACUGGGACUGAGACACGGCGCAGACUCCUACGGGAGGCAGCAGUGGGGAAUUUUGGACAAUGGGCGAAAGCCUGAUCCAGCCAUGCCGCGUGCAGGAUGAAGGCCUUCGGGUUGUAAACUGCUUUUGUACGGAACGAAAAGGUUUGGCCUAAUAAGCUGAGCUCAUGACGGUACCGUAAGAAUAAGCACCGGCUAACUACGUGCCAGCCGCCGCCGUAA
rnacentral:rRNA from 1 species